AGAGUUUGAUUAUGGCUCAGGACGAACGCUGGCGGCGUGCUUAACACAUGCAAGUCGAACGAGAAUCUGUGGAACGAGGAUUCGUCCAAGUGAAGCAGAGGACAGUGGCGGACGGGUGAGUAACGCGUGAGGAACCUGCCUUUCAGAGGGGGACAACAGUUGGAAACGACUGCUAAUACCGCAUAACACAUGGGUGUCGCAUGGCACUGAUGUCAAAGAUUUAUCGCUGAAAGAUGGCCUCGCGUCUGAUUAGCUAGUUGGUGAGGUAACGGCCCACCAAGGCGACGAUCAGUAGCCGGACUGAGAGGUUGACCGGCCACAUUGGGACUGAGAUACGGCCCAG
rnacentral:rRNA from 1 species